rnacentral:rRNA from 1 species
UGUGGUGGCGAUAGCAAGAAGGAUACACCUGUUCCCAUGCCGAACACAGAAGUUAAGCUUCUUAGCGCCGAUAG